rnacentral:rRNA from 1 species
UUAAGGCUGAGACACGACGUCGAGCACCUACGGGUGUGAAGUCAUUGAUGCCAUGCUUCCAGGAAAAGCCUCUAAGCUUCAGAUUGUAAGGAAUCGUACCCCAAACCGACACAGGUGGUCGGGUAGAGAAUACCAAGGCGCUUGAGAGAACUCGGGUGAAGGAACUAGGCAAAAUGGUACCGUAACUUCGGGAGAAGGUACGCUCUCGACGGUGAAGUCCCUUGCGGAUGGAGCUAUUGAGAGUCGCAGAUACCAGGUGGCUGCAACUGUUUAUUAAAAACACAGCACUGUGCAAAAUCGUAAGAUGACGUAUACGGUGUGACGCCUGCCCGGUGCCGGAAGGUUAAUUGAUGGGGUUAGACUUCGGUCGAAGCUCUUGAUCGAAGCCCCGGUAAACGGCGGCCGUAACUAUAACGGUCCUAAGGUAGCGAAAUUCCUUGUCGGGUAAGUUCCGACCUGCACGAAUGGCGUAAUGAUGGCCACGCUGUCUCCACCCGAGACUCAGUGAAAUUGAAAUCGCUGUGAAGAUGCAGUGUACCCGCGGCUAGACGGAAAGACCCCGUGAACCUUUACUACAGCUUGGCACUGAACAUUGACCCUACAUGUGUAGGAUAGGUGGGAGGCUUUGAAGCACGUACGCCAGUAUGUGUGGAGCCGUCCUUGAAAUACCACCCUUGUAGUGUUGAUGUUCUAACGUCGACCCCUUAUCGGGGUUGCGGACAGUGCCUGGUGGGUAGUUUGACUGGGGCGGUCUCCUCCCAAAGAGUAACGGAGGAGCACGAAGGUGGGCUAAUCACGGUUGGACAUCGUGAGGUUAGUGCAAUGGCAUAAGCCCGCUUGACUGCGAGAAUGACAAUUCGAGCAGGUGCGAAAGCAGGUCAUAGUGAUCCGGUGGUUCUGAAUGGAAGGGCCAUCGCUCAACGGAUAAAAGGUACUCCGGGGAUAACAGGCUGAUACCGCCCAAGAGUUCAUAUCGACGGCGGUGUUUGGCACCUCGAUGUCGGCUCAUCACAUCCUGGGGCUGAAGUCGGUCCCAAGGGUAUGGCUGUUCGCCAUUUAAAGUGGUACGCGAGCUGGGUUUAGAACGUCGUGAGACAGUUCGGUCCCUAUCUGCCGUGGGCGUUGGAAGAUUGAAGGGGGCUGCUCCUAGUACGAGAGGACCGGAGUGGACGAACCUCUGGUGUUCGGGUUGUGUCGCCAGACGCAUUGCCCGGUAGCUAAGUUCGGAAUCGAUAACCGCUGAAAGCAUCUAAGCGGGAAGCGAGCCCUGAGAUGAGUCUUCCCUGAUACUUUAAGUAUCCUAAAGGGUUGUCGGAGACUACGACGUUGAUAGGUCAGGUGUGUAAGUGCUGUGAGGCAUUGAGCUAACUGAUACUAAUUGCCCGUGAGGCUUAACCAUACAACACCCAAGGGGUUU